AAACAACGCUGUUGGCAGGCCUACACAUGCACGUCGAUCGGACCUUUCGGGGUCAGCGGCGGACGGGUGAGUAACGCGUGGGAAUAUGCCCUUCUCUACGGAAUAGUCCUGGGAAACUGGGGGUAAUACCGUAUACGCCCUUUGGGGGAAAGAUUUAUCGGGGAAGGAUUAGCCCGCGUUGGAUUAGGUAGUUGGUGGGGUAAUGGCCUACCAAGCCGACGAUCCAUAGCUGGUUUGAGAGGAUGAUCAGCCACACUGGGAGAUANACACGGCCCAUACUCCUACGGGAGGCAGUAUUGGGGAAUCUUAGACGAUGGGGGCAACCCUGAUCUAGCCAUGCCGCGUGAGUGAUGACGGCCUUAGGGUUGUAAAGCUCUUUCAGCUGGGAAGAUAAUGACGGUACCAGCAGAAGAAGCCCCGGCUAAGUCCGUGCCACCAGCCGGGGUAAUACGGAGGGGGCUAGCGUGGUUCGGAAUUACUGGGCGUAAAGCGCACUUAGGCGGAUCGGAUACUUGGGGGUGAAAUCCCGGGGCUUCACCUGGGAACUGCCGUCAAAACUACUGGUCUUGAGUUCGAGAGAGGUGACUGCGAUUGCCAGUUUCGAGGUGAAAUUCGU
rnacentral:rRNA from 1 species